AGGAGCCGUGUGAGGUGAAAGUCUCAUGCACGGUUUUGAAGGAGAAGCUUAAAGGGCGACCUUUAG
rnacentral:ncRNA from 1 species